CAGGACGAACGCUGGCGGCAUGCCUAACACAUGCAAGUCGAACGGAAGUAGAAAUACUUUAGUGGCGAACGGGUGAGUAACACGUGAGCAACCUGCCUUAUACACAGGGAUAACAGUUGGAAACGACUGCUAAUACCGGAUAAGACCACACUAUGGCAUCAUAGAGGGGUCAAAGCGAAAUAAGCGGUAUAAGAUGGGCUCGCGUCCAAUUAGCUAGUUGGUGAGGUAACGGCCCACCAAGGCGACGAUUGGUAGCCGACUUGAGAGAGUGAUCGGCCACACUGGAACUGAGACACGGUCCAGACUCCUACGGGAGGCAGCAGGUGGGGAAUAGUUGGGCAAUGGAAGGAAACUCCUUACCCAGACCAAUGCCGCGUGAGUGAUGAAGGUUCUUUGGAUUAGUAAAGCUUCUUUGAUUGGGGACGAAUAAAUGACGGUACCCAAAGAACAAGCCCCGGCUAACUAUGUGCCAGCCGCUGC
rnacentral:rRNA from 1 species